rnacentral:rRNA from 1 species
GACGAACGCGGCGGCGUGCCUAAUACAUGCAAGUCGAGCGGACAGAUGGGAGCUUGCUCCCUGAUGUUAGCGGCGGACGGGUGAGUAACACGUGGGUAACCUGCCUGUAAGACUGGGAUAACUCCGGGAAACCGGGGCUAAUACCGGAUGGUUGUUUGAACCGCAUGGUUCAAACAUAAAAGGUGGCUUCGGCUACCACUUACAGAUGGACCCGCGGCGCAUUAGCUAGUUGGUGAGGUAACGGCUCACCAAGGCAACGAUGCGUAGCCGACCUGAGAGGGUGAUCGGCCACACUGGGACUGAGACACGGCCCAGACUCCUACGGAGGCAGCAGUAGGGAAUCUUCCGCAAUGGACGAAAGUCUGACGGAGCAACGCCGCGUGAGUGAUGAAGGUUUUCGGAUCGUAAAGCUCUGUUGUUAGGGAAGAACAAGUACCGUUCGAA